GCAUGAUUCACUGGAUGAUUAACAGAACGUGAUUCCUCGUCUGCAUCUUCAUCUUUCACCCAAUCAAAGAAUCCACAGUCAUCGCUACAGGCGAAGAACAGACGCCCUUUGUUACCAAUAUCUCGUUCAACCUCAAAAUAUUUUCAAUAUUCGUGGUCACAACUAGGGUAUCGGCAUUUUGAGUGGCAUUGUCCAAAAUAGUGCGUGUUGCUUCUACAACCAUGACAAACUCCAAAAUUUCUUCCUCUCAUUCUACUCGAUGACUGCAAAUGAAACAAUGUGAGUCCAUCAUCAGUAUGAAAAUCCAGAGCAUACAACUCAAUCAUUACAUGCCAAUUCCAAACAAUAGAAAAAAGGGCCACAUUAACUAUGACAUCUUUUAUUUAUUUCUUUUUCACAAUAGUUACUUCUUCAUGAUUUUCACUUUAAGUAUUAAAAAAUGUCACGGUUCUUUUAAGCCAAAAGCUUAUGACUCUGUUAAAGAAUUAAAAGUGAAUCAAGGCACAAAGACAGG
rnacentral:lncRNA from 1 species